AGGCAGCAGUGGGGAAUAUUGCGCAAUGGGCGAAAGCCUGACGCAGCGACGCCGCGUGAGGGAUGAAGGCCUUCGGGUCGUAAACCUCUGUCAGGAGGGAAGAACCGCCCAGGUGCUAAUCAGCCUGGGUCUGACGGUACCUCCAAAGGAAGCACCGGCUAACUCC
rnacentral:rRNA from 1 species